AAAGGGAAGCCAGUGUGGUCCAGUGGGUAAGUUCCCGACUUCCACCCAGACAACCAGGGUUCAAAUGCCAGGAUUGGCACCAGGUGAUGGAUGAUGGUGCAGCAGAGGUAAGUUGGAGUUCGGCCUGCCUGGUAAGAAAAAUGUGUGUGAGUGUAUGUGCCGUGUAAGAGUGGGGUCAUGCCUGAUGAAUGGUGAUUGCAGAGUGGUUGGUAAGUGACAUGGGUGUGGUGAGAGCAAGGGGCGGGAUCAGGUGUUAAGUGAGGUGGUGGGUGGAGUCAGGGGAUAGGGGGAGUGCAAGGUUAGAUGGGUGGGGAUAGGGGGAGUGCGAGGGAGGAGGAGCUUGGGACAGAGAGGAGGUGUGUCAGAGCAGAGAGGGGGGCCAGAUGUGGGCACAAGUUAAUUGGAGUGGUGGGUGGAGUUAGGGGGGGUGGAGGUGGGUGGGAUACCAGGGACAAAGAAGGGGGUCAUAGAGGGAGGAGGGCCUGGGACAGAGAGGAGGUGUCAGAGUAGGGACAGAGGUGGGCUCUCAUACAGUGGUUCCCUAGCUCACUGGAGGGACGAUUACAUAGGGUGGGGAACCCCAA
rnacentral:misc_RNA from 1 species